GGACAGAGUUAACAGAAUUAUUUUUUGCAUUUAUAAUUUAAUUUAUGAAAUAAUUAAUAUUCUUUAAAUGUGGAGUAAGUUUUCACCUGGUUAUCGUCGAAGAUUAAAUUUAAAUUGUUGUUAUUUCUCAAGAAGGAAGUUGGGUUACUGUAGAAACUUACGAUGAAGUACUUGUUUUGAUACAUAGCUUCGAAACAGAGGCUGUAUUAAAGUUUUAUGCUAUAGUGCUGCUAAAAACUUUGGAAAGAUGGGUAAGAAUUUUGAAAACACAAAUUUAAUUAUGUGUUUUCAAAAUGCAAUUGCUAAAUUUUAAUUUUCUUUUAUAAAUAUAUAGUUAUUAUUUAAAAAAUUUUUGUUGUUGUUAUCUUUAAAGAUUCUUCUGCAAAACACCACAAAAUAAGAUAAUUCAAUAUCAUUUAAUGGUAUUCCCUUUAUGGUUUUAGGAUGUAAAGUGCUUGAUUGUAUGCACGGGAAUGAUAGAAAAGUCUCUUCUAAAGAAGUUUAUAAAAUUUAUUUAUUAUUAUGUUAUGUUUUUCUUUAUUAACUUAUUACAAAAUAGCUCCUGUAUUUAAUGUCUAAACCUUUUAUUUAUGUUCUUUUGUCUAAUUUUCUUAAUAAGUAUCAGAUCACAGUUUUUCAAAAAGCUAUUUGCUAUAUUUAAAUUUCUUGGUCACCAAGAAAUUUAACUGUAGUUUUCAAAUAAAAAUUUAGAAAGUUUAAAAGUUCCCAAGUUUUAAGGUUUUAUUUCUUUGUUUGUUUAAUUUAUAUUAUUGAAAUGAGAUUUAAGUCAGUCCUAUAUUAACUAUUCAAGACACAUGCAUCAACUUAAAAUAUAACCAAUUAAUUUAUGCUAAUUCUUUUUAAAAUAAACUUUGUUUUAUAUUGCUGAGGAUACUAAAUUUAGAAGAGUGCAAUUCUCAAACUGUAUUAAAGAUGCUUUGUCAAGAAAUAAAGUAGUAAGGGAAAGAGUGUUUUCAGUUUGCUUUCCUUCAAAAAGUUCUUAUACUGGUCAUUUUACUAGAGAUUUUGUUAUUUUCACUGGAUUUUAUUGCUAUGUGUUAUUGUUGUGAUGUUUUGUGUUGAUAGACAGCUUGGCUCACCUUCCCGUUGGCGUCUAUUGUUAAAAAUGAAUCAUAGGUAGUUUCAUUAUUGGAAUUUACUGCUUUUAUUUAUUUACUAAAAACGAAGACAACAUUUUGCUGAAAGUGCAAUUUAAAUCUUAGUUUGAUUUUUUUGUAAUUUGGUGUUUUUUUUAUUUUUUUUUUAUUUUUUUGUAAUUAUGAUGUAAUUCCAUUUCUUUUUAUUUUAGAUUUACGUUA